UGAGCGUUGGCGCAUGCAUGCAGCGUCUCGGGUAGUCCUGGUGAGUCUGCGAUCUACUGGUAUAACGGUUGGCCCGCUCACGCGACUGAAUACCGAUCUCUGAGGCAACGGACAAAAUUCGGGCUACACUCCCAUAAACGUCCGCAUUGGAACGCCUUUAUCGGUCGCCCACCUGUGUCCGGCUGUCCACGCAGGCAACUUCACCCUGAUCUGCGUCUUCGAGUACAUCACGGCGGACCUCUGGAACAAGACGGACCAGUGCACCGACUAUGUCUACAUCCGGGCUUUCUACUACGCCAUCCGAGUCAACCACGAGCCGCUCGUUUUCGACAAGAAGACGUUGAUACGGAAUACUCACAAAUUGUACUUCGACGACCAGUACUACUGGCAGAAUCUGACCCUGGCGGACCAGAGGGUAAACCGCGCCAUGCGCAGGUUUCCCUCAUGCCGACUGGUACCUUGGAAUGUGGGGCGCCAUCUACAUACGGCUCGUGUCAAGCUUUUGGCAGACCAACUUUAUACAAGAGGCCCUGUACAACUUUACGCGACGGCCCUAUUUCGGCCCGAUCAACACGACCCGGUUCAGCGGAUUUGCGAUAAUCAACACGAUAAUUCAGAAUGAGCGAGGAGACGCUCUGAUCGCAGAACAU